ACUUCUGCUUCUGACUGCUUCUGUCGAGCGGACAUUCGAGUCUAAAGCGAAUUAAACUUUCUAUUAAAAGUAAAAAACUAUUAAAACGUAUGCGACAUUAAAACAAAUACGACAGGACAGACUUUUAGCAUUAGCAUCGACGGAGAUGGAACAGGACUUGACGUUAGAACUGGAACGCGAUAAUCUGUAGAACACUGUCACUGAACUCAUCUUAAGGAAAGAGAGGAGGGGUUUCGUGUACAACUCAGCGGACGUUUUGAUGGGGAAAGGUCUGCGUCCAGUGAUCAAACAUCUCCCAUCUGUCUGGACCACUGCUCUGGGCCUCUGGGCUGGGUCUCAGGCUCCCAGCUCAUUUGUAUGCCCUGUGCCGCUGCAGCCUGUCAGCUGCUGGAGCUGCACCAUGUCAACCAGGCUAAAACAUUUGGACCAGGAAUCAGAAUCACCAGACACUAAGUGGACCUCAGGGGUGAAUGACACACGGGGCUGUGUAAGCCCCACCUGUCAGCCUGUCGAGCUGAGAGCCAUCGCGAUGCUUCCGAGGUGAAGCUGAGACGCCGCGGGGCCUCCAGAUGGUUUACUGUGCUGUCAGCGCGGGGAUCAAUACGAGUCCACAGCUUUAACAACACACACAAAUACCAGGUGUUCUAACAUAAGGCGGACCAGGUGGGACCGCGUGGCAUCUGGCUGUUCCUUUGGUCGUCUGGCUAAACGGGACGUCGUCCAGCUUCACCGACGUUUUGAUGCGAUCCAAUUCUCAAAGUCUGCACAGAAACAGGAAGUGAAGAUUCAGAGAGAAAUUCUGUCCCAGAGUACGUUUGUCCAAAGGACAAGAAGGACAGACGUGGACCAGGAGUGUGUAUCGGCAGGAAUCUGGUGACACGAUACAUAUCACCAUACAGUGGGAACGAUACGAUAUAUUACGAUACUAGAGGCACGAUGAUACAAUGAGGUUUUUGGGAAAAUUUAUUUAUUAAGUAUAAAAACUCUGUAUCACCAUUUGAUCUCGUCAUCACCGUCCCACUCAAAUAUAAUAUUUGUUUCACAUUUUACUCAUUAACUUCAGGUUCGUUAUCUCUCUAAAAUCAUUUUCUGUCUUUACUUUUUUUGAUUAAUCCAUAUAUUUAUUUAUUUUCAUUUGGUCCGUGUGAAGACAGCCGUCAGUGGACUCUUUUUUUUCAUUCCAUCACAGAUAUUCUGAGGACUGAUGAAGAGGGUCUGAACAAAUUAGAUUUUUUUUUAAAAAGGUAAAGAGCUGAGCUCUAAUAGCCGGGCACUGUGUUUCCAUAUGGCUGCUGGUGCGAUCCUCCUGCUGCCUUGCUUGGCCUCCUGCCAUGUGGAUUAGGAAGCCACAGAGCAGGAAUUAAUGUACUCCAUCUGUAGGCUUUGUCCUCAGACAGCCCCCCGUUGUCUCGCCUGGCUCCAGCUCUGGUUCAUGUGAAAAAAAAAAGUCAACUCAGCCGAACGCUCCUAAAUCGUCAGCCGGAAAGUUGGAGUGGGAAUUAUCAAAAUGGAAGAAUAACGGAGGAAAAGUUGUUUCUGACCAGAACAUGUGACAUGACUUGAGUCUUAGUACUUAUUGACUGAGUUAUGUUUUUAUUCACGCUGUCAUUUUUAUGUCGUGGACUCACAACAGCCAAUAGCAGCAGCCGUGUCUGUGGUCACUGACACAUCCAAAGAACCGACGUCUCAGCUUCCUCUGUCCUGUCCUCAGGUCAAAGGUCAAAUCUCUGCAGUCUUAUUGACAUGUCCUUCAGCAGCAGCAGGAGACACAGACCGUCCAACAAAACUGUUAACCAGCCCUGUAGAGUCAACGCCACAGUUUCCCCUGAAGAGGUUGUUGGAUUGACUCCUGGUCUGCUGCUCCACCUCCAACUUCACUCCACUCCUCUUCCCACAGCGGCUCCAGCAGCUUUUCAUUAUUCAAAUGAAGUUUUGGUGGCUGCAGGAAGUCAAUACCCAGAAUACAUCUGUGACACACAGAGAGAGAGAGAGCGUGGUGUGUGUGUGUCGUCCAACUAGUUCUGCUGACUGGUUAUCUGUGCAGGUACACGGGAUGUACUCUGUUGUACUACAUUGAUACUACACUGCUACCAUCUGUGGUUGGUGUUGUGGAAACAUCAGUUCUGCUCUGCAUGAUGGAAGUGAAGAACAGGAACAAGAAACAGGAUCCAGAACUGGAACUAGUUAACUCUAGUUAACAGAGGUUUAUUCACAAUUAGUCAGUCUCUGUCUCCACCUCUGUCCCCACCCGUGUCUCUGUCUCCACCUCUGUCCCCACCCGUGUCUCUGUCUCCACC